UCCGAGUUGACCCCGGCAGUCUUCGAUGAGUCCCCGCCAUAACGCGCUGGCAACAUCGAACGAGGGUUGCGCUCGUUGCGGGACUUAACCCAACAUCUCACGACACGAGCUGACGACAGCCAUGCAGCAUCUGUGGCGCACCCUCGAAGGUCACACGUUUCCGUGCGCUUGCAGCGCCAUGUCAAGCCCAGGUAAGGUUCUUCGCGUUGUGGAAGCAAGCU
rnacentral:misc_RNA from 1 species